CCUACGGGAGGCUGCAGUGAGGAAUAUUGGUCAAUGGACGAGAGUCUGAACCAGCCAAGUAGCGUGAAGGAUGACUGCCCUAUGGGUUGUAAACUUCUUUUAUAUGGGAAUAAAAUGUUCCACGUGUGGGAUUUUGUAUGUACCAUAUGAAUAAGGAUCGGCUAACUCCGUGCCAGCAGCCGCGGUAAUACGGAGGAUCCGAGCGUUAUCCGGAUUGAUUGGGUUUAAAGGGAGCGUAGGUGGAUUGUUAAGUCAGUUGUGAAAGUUUGCGGCUCAACCGUAAAAUUGCAGUUGAAACUGGCAGUCUUGAGUACAGUAGAGGUGGGCGGAAUGCGUGGUGUAGCGGUGAAAUGCUUAGAUAUCACGAAGAACUCCGAUUGCGAAGGCAGCUCACUGGACUGCAACUGACACUGAGGCUCGAAAGUGUGGGUAUCAAACAGGAUUAGAUACCCCUGUAGUC
rnacentral:rRNA from 1 species